UACGGGGGGGGCAAGCGUUGUUCGGAAUUACUGGGCGUAAAGGGCUCGUAGGCGGCCAACUGAGUCAGACGUGAAAUCCCUCGGCUUAACCGGGGAACUGCGUCUGAUACUGGAUGGCUUGAGUUUGGGAGAGGGACGCGGAAUUCCAGGUGUAGCGGUGAAAUGCGUAGAUAUCUGGAGGAACACCGGUGGCGAAGGCGGCGUCCUGGACCAAUACUGACACUGAGUGAGCGAAAGCCAGGGGAGCAAACGGG
rnacentral:rRNA from 1 species